CCUACGGGGGGCUGCAGUGGGGAAUAUUGGACAAUGGGGGCAACCCUGAUCCAGCCAUGCCGCGUGUGUGAAGAAGGCCCUCGGGUUGUAAAGCACUUUCAGUGAGGAAGAACGCCUGGUGGUUAAUACCCAUCAGGAAAGACAUCACUCACAGAAGAAGCACCGGCUAACUCCGUGCCAGCAGCCGCGGUAAUACGGAGGGUGCGAGCGUUAAUCGGAAUUACUGGGCGUAAAGCGCGCGUAGGUGGCUUGAUAAGCCGGUUGUGAAAGCCCCGGGCUCAACCUGGGAACGGCAUCCGGAACUGUCAGGCUAGAGUGCAGGAGAGGAAGGUAGAAUUCCCGGUGUAGCGGUGAAAUGCGUAGAGAUCGGGAGGAAUACCAGUGGCGAAGGCGGCCUUCUGGACUGACACUGACACUGAGGUGCGAAAGCGUGGGUAGCAAACAGGAUUAGAUACCCCGGUAGUC
rnacentral:rRNA from 1 species